rnacentral:rRNA from 1 species
CAGUCGCCGCGGUAACACGGAGGGGGCUAGCGUUGUUCGGAAUUACUGGGCGUAAAGCGUGCGCAGGCGGUUCGUUAAGACAGAUGUGAAAUCCCCGGGCUUAACCUGGGAACUGCAUUUGUGACUGGCGAGCUAGAGUAUGGCAGAGGGGGGUAGAAUUCCACGUGUAGCAGUGAAAUGCGUAGAGAUGUGGAGGAGUACCGAUGGCGAAGGCAGCCCCCUGGGCCAAUACUGACGCUCAUGCACGAAAGCGUGGGGAUCAAACAGGAUUAGAGACCCCCGUAGUCCCUGUCUCUUAUAA